rnacentral:rRNA from 1 species
UGAGGAAUAUUGGUCAAUGGACGGAAGUNUGAACCAGCCAAGUAGCGUGCAGGAUGACGGCCCUAUGGGUUGUAAACUGCUUUUGUAUGGGGAUAAAGUUAGGGACGUGUCCCUAUUUGCAGGUACCAUACGAAUAAGGACCGGCUAAUUCCGUGCCAGCAGCCGCGGUAAUACGGAAGGUCCAGGCGUUAUCCGGAUUUAUUGGGUUUAAAGGGAGCGUAGGCUGGAGAUUAAGUGUGUUGUGAAAUGUAGACGCUCAACGUCUGAAUUGCAGCGCAUACUGGUUUCCUUGAGUACGCACAACGUUGGCGGAAUUCGUCGUGUAGCGGUGAAAUGCUUAGAUAUGACGAAGAACUCCGAUUGCGAAGGCAGCUGACGGGAGCGCAACUGACGCUUAAGCUCGAAGGUGCGGGUAUCAAACAGGAUUAGAUACCCUGGUAGUCCGCACAGUAAACGAUGGAUGCCCGCUGUUGGUACCUGGUAUCAGCGGCUAAGCGAAAGCAUUAAGCAUCCCACCUGGGGAGUACGACCGCAAGGUUG